GCAACUAGCUCAGCUGGUAAAGCGUGAGACUCUUAAUCUCAGGGUUGUGGGUUUAAGCCCCUGUUGGGCA